AUGAAACAGAAAAAUAAGUGUUACAAGACUACAAGCUGGAUUGAACAGGACACGGUGGCAUUAUUUUUGGAUGAUACAUCUGAAAGCACAAUAUUAAGAAGUACUGCACAGAAGCCAACAGAGAGAACAAUAUCAGAAUUCCUCCUGUUUUUGUAACUGUGAAUUCCGGCUUCCACUAAAGAACAGUGCUGAAUAAGAAAAGCUUCCUCUUCCCCUCCCAUAUACUGCUUGCACAGAAAAUGCAUCUUCAUCAUGCAGUACAGAAAAGCAACAACAGUCACACGCAUAGUCAAAAAGUCACUAAGAAAAGCACCUGAGCCACCAAAAAAAGCCAUCUCCUUCUGUAAAGCAUAGUUUUUCAAAGACUAUCAUCAUGAAGGUAUUUUUUUCCAUGAAAUUGAUUUGUAAUGUGUCUCAACCUCCAUCAGAGCAUUUGGUUGAUAGAGAUGACAUUUAGAAGAAUUAACAUAAUUUAUAUGCGAAGGGAUAAUGACGACAGUCUGCUGUUACAAUCUAUCAGAUGGCAGCUGAAUCUUUCACAGCUUCUCCUCUCUUGUGUAGAAGACCUACUUUUCUUCUGGGUUUGCAUCCCUAAUGGCCAACCCUCUUCUCUUCUAAGAUUUUGUCACAAAAUAACUGCCAAGUGAGCAUCAGUGUGAUAGCCCAUGAAUUAGUAGACCACCUUAAUGAGUUACAUGCAUAGAUUUGUAUAAUGAAACUAGGUGAUUAUUAAUCACAGUUUUAAUUGCCUCAGUGUUUUGCUGCUGAAAGUAAGGAAAGUAUCGGGGAGGGGGAAAGAGGAAUGCAGUUUUACUUUUUAAUUAUAAAGUCAGAAGAAGGAUUCCGAAGCAAUAAUUUUUUUUUUUCCACAAACCAAUUAAAACUAAAUCCAGCUUAACCAAGAGGAAAAUAUUUGCAUUUUUAGGAAACCAGAAAACAUCCAUUAUUUAGGCAAUAAGAAUCCCCAUGACGUGCAAACCUAAGUCUAGAUUCUGUAGCUUUGAAAUAUACUUCUUCUGGCAAGGUGCUUAAAGGACAAACAUUGAUUCAGGGUCUGGCACACCCUUCUAAUAACUAAUGAGAAACUACUUUCCCUUUUAUACACUCUGUAAAGCUUCCCCCUAUUCUCCACAUCUCUUUCUGAGCUUAGAAUGCAGUCAGAAAACAGUAUACAAAAAUGAGGAGGUUGAUGAGGUACCAGAAAAUCCCAGACAUGGAUCAACAAGCUGUUCCCCUUCACAAACAGCAGCAGUAAAACCACUUCUUUAUUCUGCUGGGAGCUCGAUCAUCCCUCAGAACUACAGUCCUUUCCAUCUGGCUACCCUCUGGAAGGACAAGAUCUUUUAGCUUAAGGCAUGCUAUAAUGGGGAAUGUGUAAUUAGCUGUUCUACACAGUAUCACAAAAGGUCAGAAGCAGAAUGGAUGAAAAAUUCUGUCUGUAUUUGCAGAUGGUCUACACUCAUUUUAUUUGCAUUUCUGAACAUGCAGUUGAACUGACAAAGAAUCCAGGUAUGUACGCACGUAAAAUAGAAAUAAGCAAAUUCCUAAUGGCUGUCUGGUGCUGUGCAUUACAGGGUGUUGUAGUUUUAGCUGGGAUGGAAUUGUUUUCUUCAGAGUGACUGGUGUGAUGCUAUGUUUUGGUUCUAAGAGAACACAACAGUGUUGAUAGUUGCUGCUAAGCAACUAAUAGAGCCAAGGCCACUCACAGUGAAGGGCCCAAGGAGCUGGGAGGGAACAGAAUUAGGACAGCUGACUCAAACCGGCCACAGGGAUAUUCUGUACCACCUGACAUCAUGCAGAAGGAGUUCUGAAGGGCUGGGAGUUUGUCUCACUCUUCCACUGCUUGGAGGCUACCUUGGAAAGAAGUUCUGUUGCCCUAGAAAUAAAACUGGAGAGAGAAAGCUCAAGUACUGCAAGAGGAGAGAGACAACAGUCAGCCAAGACCCAGCAGGUAUCGCUGAAACAGAAAAGUCCAAGAGGUUCAGGGAGUUUCCUCCCCUUCUGGAGGAAGGGAAGAAAAACAACUUGUCAGAGGAAGUGCUGAUCCAUCUCACUGACUCAAACAGGAAAGGAGUGAAGAAACAAUGAGAAUGCGUAAGAUGCAAAGGGUUAAAGUUCCUGGAUAAAAUUACUGUACUCUGCCAUCCCCUUUUUUGUAUUGUUUUGUUGAGAUGACCUGCUGCUAGGCCACUCAGUUCAACAGAAUUACACACCUACACGUUAUAAAAUAAAAGCUUAAGAACUGCCUGUCUGUGGUCAGGAUUAAAUGCAAUCUAAUAAGACUGCAUUAUUAACAGAUCAUGAUUUAAGGUUCAGAAGUGUAACACUGAGGUUCCAGUACACCUGUUUUCAUGCUCUCAAUAGACAAAAGCAGUACCAUUCUACAACCUCACACCUCACCCCUCAUCUGAGAAGUGAAUAAAGCACCGUGGUUAUCAGCAAAGCACAAGCCUGCAAGGAUUUAUCAAUUUAAGCCACCUGUAUUUAGGCUAAGAAAAUUAAUUCUUUUGUGGCCUGCAGAUGUUUCACAUAUCUGCGCAAUGGAAGGAGCUUAACUAGAGAAUUGUUUAGGGGAAGAAAUGAACAGAAUACCAUUUAAGGAGUAGUCACAAUUCUUAUUUAGUGAGAUCUUUUCAAGAAAUAGCUGCUUCCCAAUUCCUCCCCCCUUCAGGAGUUUAAAAUUCAACGGAAGCACUGAAUCAGAGUCAAACUCAGUCACAUGCUAUGACUUGCAUUUUCAUGAAAUCAUCAAAGCAAUUCACUUAACGAUUAUAUAUUCCAUGCAUUUGGAAUAUUGACUCUGCUAAGGCAACAGUUAAUGACCUGGAUUAGGGUGCUGAUGCUGGGCUUGCAUUGCUUUUUGCCAUUGAAUUCUUCCAUAUGACAUUAAUCCCUUUUUUCCAUCUCCAGCAAUGUGACUGCUGAAAGAGCUCAGUAACUGAGUUAAAUUUCUCCUCCUGCAUUUUAGAACAGCAUGUUCUGCUAUACUAUCUGUUAGAAAGACAGUUUUCUAGUACAGAUUCAUACACCUCACAACAUAUUUCCCCAUGUAAGAGAAUAAAAAUAAGGUUGCUCAGUUUCAACAAGAGUUCAGGGUUUCUCAAGCAGCAAUGGCCUUUGCUGUCUUAAUUUAAAAAAAAAAAAAAAAAGGAAAAAAAAGGCAGGAAAAAUGGAAAGAAAGUAAGUGCUCAGCAGCCCUUCCUUAACCCAUCAUUAGUUAGGGAUUUAAAAAGCAGCACACAGAAUUGGCCUCCACCUUAUUUUUCCUAGGUUAAAAAACAGUCUCUUAUGCUGGAAGAGUACCGCAAAGGUGAGCAGUAGAAGGGCACAAUGUCUAUUAUCUUCCUUCCCCUCCCCUAGCAGUCAGCAACAAAGUUGUCACACAGGCCUGUUACCAAAUCAAAUGGUUUACCUUGACACACACUUUCCAUUAUAGCUAAACCAGUACAUCAAUGAACAACAUCUAUGUAUGAUUUCUACUGCUCAAACUUAGUAAAAAGAGACAAGUGCUGUUGUUUUUGCACUAUCCUAUUUUGUCCAGUCAUCACAAAUUCUAUAAGUUUUAUUUUCUCCUAACAGUAUUCUUGAAGGCUUAAAUGUCCUGGUAAAUUCAUAUGCUCAUUCCCAGUACAACUUGAUGCUGCUGUAAUCUCCAAAUGGAAACCAUGUGCAGAUGGUAAAACAUCCAUUAGCAAAAACAGGGCCCACUCCAGAAUGGAGUACAGCCCCCGCACUGACUUGGUCUUCAUUCACAUAUGAGACAGUGCAGAAGACCACCUGACUGAAGGGUGGAAAACACACUUUUUCUAAGGUAAUACAUAUAGAAACUAGAAUAUAUAGCUUCUAAUAUCCCAUCCAGCAUACUGACUUCAUUUUCUUUCAGGGUAAACAACACUAAAAUACUGUGCAAAACUUUACUCACUUUAACUAUUUCCUUUAACUAACCUACCCUUUCAGGUCUAUUGGUCUUAAUCCAAGACACCAGGUGUUUGUAUAUAAGGGCUGCUCCAAAAGUAACACCUGCUUUAUUGUGUUGGCCCACGACAUCAGAGGCAGAUGUGGUGGUAACAUAGCAGAGGUUGAACAUUCCUACCAAUAUUCUGUUCCAUUUUGUUGCAAUGCAACAGAUGGCAGCAGAGAAGCAGUUUGACAAAAUGGCCUCUGACAUGAAAGUGCAGAUGAAGCAAAGGUAUGGAAUUGAAUUCCUCCAUGUGGAAAAAGUGGCACCAACUGACAACUCAUCAGUGCUUGUUGAACACAGAUGAAGACCAAACAGUGGAGAGGAGAGUGAUGCAGCGGGUGGUGUGUUUUAUUUUCAGUAGCAACAGUGUCACAGCAGCUUUGAAAUAGUGCCUCACCUCCACAGAGAAGCAGAGUUGUAAAAGCGCAACAUGCAGGCUCUUGUUCAUCACUGAUGAAAACACACAGCCAGUGGUUGUGAUGAUUUUGAAAAAGACUUUUGUAGCUGAGA